rnacentral:rRNA from 1 species
UACGUAGGGUGCAAGCGUUGUCCGGAAUUAUUGGGCGUAAAGAGCUCGUAGGCGGUCUGUCGCGUCGGCUGUGAAAACCCGGGGCUCAACCCCGGGCCUGCAGUCGAUACGGGCAGACUAGAGUGCGGUAGGGGAGACUGGAAUUCCUGGUGUAGCGGUGAAAUGCGCAGAUAUCAGGAGGAACACCGGUGGCGAAGGCGGGUCUCUGGGCCAACACUGACGCUCAUGCACGAAAGCGUGGGGAGCAAACAGG